GGGCAUUUUCAUCAACUAUAAUAUGGAGGACAAUAGUUUUUCACAGAGUUGUGGCGGAUAGUAUAAACAUAAUAUAUUUUGAAGCACCUAGCACAGGGGCCAAUGGCUACCCUAAAGUAAAAUGAUUCAUUCAUGACAGAAAAAAGGAGACUUUGCCCAUAAACUUCUCCUAAACUAUUAUAGAAAUGAUGCUUUGAGGAUCUCAUCUUCAUUCUAAACGUAGCAGAGUGGCUUGAAGGGUUAAGUGCCACACAGGACCUGACUAAAAUCCUGUGAAGAGAGGAGGGGUGUCCCCAGCUGUUCUCACUGUGCAUAAUCCUGGAAGAAGUUCAUGGUGCUUCCUGUAUUAACAUCCUUGCAAGUGGUACCUGCCUCUCUGAGGAUCCAGCUACGCAAUGAAUCUGAGAAAGCUUAAAAUCGGAAAUGCUGCUCUAGUAAUGGUUCUCAAACCCUGGUGGUCUUGACAUACAGGUCUUAUUAAAACACAGUUGCUGGGCUCCACCUAAGAGAUCUGGAUUCUGAAUUUGUAUGUCUAACAAGUUUCCAGAAGUUUGAUGCCACAAUGGAUGCUACCAAUGACACCAUUUGAUUUGGAAAUAAGGAGAUAGGCCCAAGUUUUUAUCGGACACACCCCUCAUUCUUCGUUCAUCACAGCAUCCCUGAAAUUGAAAGCCAGCAGCGACCCGAGUCAAUUUUCUACACUCAAAUUUGCAUGCCUGGUGUAAAUUUCCAGGAGCUUUCCUCCUGGAAAGCCAGUGUCUCAUACGCCUCCCAGCAAACACUGACCACAUCCUGAACGAAGCUAAGCACUGUGUAAUGCUAAGCAGACCUGGGCCCGUAGGAAACAAGAUGCCACAUUCGGGACAGCUGUCAGCACUCAUCCAACACCCUGCCUUCCACUCGUCCAUCCCUGCAAUUAGUGAGGAGUGAGGUUUGGAGCUGUGCCAAUUCAACCUGGAAUGGGAAACAUCGAGCUCUGACACCCUUAAGAGCUACCAAGAUUUUGUGAUGGAAAUGAAGCUGACAGUUUUGUCAGGGAUGUGAGAAGCAGAAUCAGAUUCAGCUAGUUCCUGCGGAGAUGUGCUGGCUCUAUCAAGAUGAAGAUAAUAAAAAACAUACCUGAGCAGUAUAAUAAUUUAGCCACUUCAAGUCAUCAGUGUAUUCCACAAAUUAGUUGACUAACAAAUCUGGCCAAUAUAACUAUCAACAGAAAGGAGGUUUCCUAAGUGUCUGGACAAAAAGAGACCUAGGGG